CGUGACCAUCGAGUUUUUGAACCCAAGUUGCGCCCGAAGCCCUCGGGCCAGGGCACGUCUGCCUGGGCGUCACGC
rnacentral:rRNA from 1 species